rnacentral:miRNA from 1 species
UUUUCCCCACUCCACCGAGACC